AGAGUUUGAUCAUGGCUCAGGACGAACGCUGGCGGCGGGCCUAACACAUGCAAGUCGAACGCACUCGACCUUCGGGUCAUAUGAGUGAGUGGCGAACGGGUGAGUAACACGUGAGAAACCUGCCCCGAAGACUGGAAUAACCCGAGGAAACUCGGGCUAAUACCGGAUGCCCCCAACUGAUCGCAUGAUCAGUUGAGGAAAUGCUCCGGCGCUUCGGGAGGGUCUCGCGGCCUAUCAGCUAGUUGGUGAGGUAACGGCUCACCAAGGCAACGACGGGUAGCUGGUCUGAGAGGACGAUCAGCCACACUGGGACUGAGACACGGCCCAGACUCCUACGGGAGGCAGCAGUGGGGAAUCUUGCGCAAUGGACGAAAGUCUGACGCAGCCACGCCGCGUGAGGGAUGAAGGCUUUCGGGUCGUAAACCUCUUUCAGCAGGGAAGAAAAUGACGGUACCUGCAGAAGAAGCUCCGGCCAACUACGUGCCAGCAGCCGCGGUAACACGUAGGGAGCAAGCGUUGUCCGGAUUUAUUGGGCGUAAAGAGCUCGUAGGCUGUUCAGUAAGUCAGGUGUGAAAACUCGAGGCUCAACCUCGAGACGCCACUUGAUACUGCUGUGACUAGAGUCCGGUAGAGGAGUGUGGAAUUCCUGGUGUAGCGGUGAAAUGCGCAGAUAUCAGGAGGAACACC
rnacentral:rRNA from 1 species